AUGGAACAAGCUAGCAGUGCGCAGGAGGAGCUCAGCCUUGAGCUCACUCUGGCGAUGGCGGUGGCACCUGCGCCCAGCGGCUUCUUUCUCUGCGUCUACUGCGACCGCAAGUUCCGCAGCUCGCAGGCGCUCGGCGGCCACCAGAACGCGCACAAGACCGAGCGCAGCGUCGCCAAGCGCCGGCUGGAGAUGGCCGCCGCCAAGCGCCGGCGGGAGAUCGCCGCCGCCACGCGCGCGCAGCACGUGAGAUGCAAGCGCGCCAGAAGCUCGUUGGAGCGCGCCGACGAGGCCGAGCUGGACUUGUCUCUCCGGCUAUGA
rnacentral:rRNA from 1 species